GUCCACGCCGUAAACGAUGAAUGCCAGUCGUCGGGUAGCAUGCUAUUCGGUGACACACCUAACGGAUUAAGCAUUCCGCCUGGGGAGUACGGCCGCAAGGUUAAAACUCAAAGGAAUUGACGGGGCCCGCACAAGCGGUGGAGCAUGUGGUUUAAUUCGAAGCAACGCGCAGAACCUUACCACCUUUUGACAUGCCCUGACCGCCGGAGAGAUCCGGUUUUCCCUUCGGGGACAGGGACACAGGUGCUGCAUGGCUGUCGU
rnacentral:rRNA from 1 species